rnacentral:tRNA from 1 species
GCGGGUGUGGCGGAAUUGGCAGACGCGCUAGACUUAGGAUCUAGUGGGCGACCGUGGGAGUUCGAGUCUCUUCACCCGCACCA